GCCUUAACUGUACCUCAGUGGCCCGCGCGCCGCGUGGAGGUCGCUUCCCGCCCCUUCAGGAGCGUUCAGAGGCUCCCAAGCGGGGACUCGCUUUCCUCUAUUGUAGAAGCAAGUUCUUGAAGGAAGGCUGCAUAUAGUUUGGUUCCCUCAAUGAAGUUGUACCUACAUUUAAAAAGAAAACAAGAUUAAUAGUGGGCAUGCAAAAGCAGAUAUAGCGCAGAUGGAAUAUGAGAGUCUAAAUUACAAUUUGGCAAAAAUGUAUGACUACGUUAAUGGGGAUUACAGUCUUAGUUCCAGGUGCAGAGAAAGCUCCUUCAAUUCCAUGGAUGGACAAAGAUGGAUAGCGCGACUUCCGCAUUAAUAAUUCUUCCUAAACA